ensembl:scaRNA
UCUUUGCAACCUUGUGAAGUUGCUCCUUGUAUGAACUAUUGCUUGUGGGCACAACAAGGUUGCAGAAAGCAACUCAAAGAAUGAAAAGGCGUGACUUCUGGAGGCUCAGGAGUUUCACGUGCGAUGUUCCUUGUACAUUGUCCUGCUUUCCACGGUGGUGAUGGUCUCGCUCCGUAGCCAUUGCCUUUCUUGAGGCAGGUAAAGUAAAAACCUGACGGCAUGAUAUUGUUUGAAACGAGGGAAGCACUUUGUGUCAAGCACUGUCGACUGUCACAAGA